rnacentral:piRNA from 1 species
UGGUGUUACAGGUGUUGGACAGAAGUCUGU